GGGGCUGUAGCUCAGUGGUAGAGCACUUACCUAGCAUGCAUGAGGCACUGAGUUUGAUCCUCAGCACCA
rnacentral:tRNA from 1 species